rnacentral:rRNA from 1 species
UGCAAGUCGAGCGAAGCACUUAAGCGGAUCUCUUCGGAUUGAAACUUAUUUGACUGAGCGGCGGACGGGUGAGUAACGCGUGGGUAACCUGCCUCAUACAGGGGGAUAACAGUUAGAAAUGGCUGCUAAUACCGCAUAAGCGCACAGGACCGCAUGGUCUGGUGUGAAAAACUCCGGUGGUAUGAGAUGGACCCGCGUCUGAUUAGCUAGUUGGAGGGGUAACGGCCCACCAAGGCGACGAUCAGUAGCCGGCCUGAGAGGGUGAACGGCCACAUUGGGACUGAGACACGGCCCAGACUCCUACGGGAGGCAGCAGUGGGGAAUAUUGCACAAUGGGGGAAACCCUGAUGCAGCGACGCCGCGUGAAGGAAGAAGUAUCUCGGUAUGUAAACUUCUAUCAGCAGGGAAGAAAAUGACGGUACCUGACUAAGAAGCCCCGGCUAACUACGUGCCAGCAGCCGCGGUAAUACGUAGGGGGCAAGCGUUAUCCGGAUUUACUGGGUGUAAAGGGAGCGUAGACGGAAGAGCAAGUCUGAUGUGAAAGGCUGGGGCUUAACCCCAGGACUGCAUUGGAAACUGUUUUUCUAGAGUGCCGGAGAGGUAAGCGGAAUUCCUAGUGUAGCGGUGAAAUGCGUAGAUAUUAGGAGGAACACCAGUGGCGAAGGCGGCUUACUGGACGGUAACUGACGUUGAGGCUCGAAAGCGUGGGGAGCAAA